GACGAACGCUGGCGGCGUGCCUAACACAUGCAAGUGGAGCGACGAACCAGACUUCGGUCUGGGGCCAAGCCGCGAACGGGUGAGUAACACGUGGGUAACCUGCCCCGAUGAUCGGGACAACCCGGGGAAACCCGGGCUAAUACCGAAUGUGGUCGCGGUCCGUGAGGACUGUGACGAAAGGAAGCUUCGGCCUCCGCAUCGGGAUGGGCCCGCGGCCCAUUAGCUUGUUGGUGGGGUAAUGGCCUACCAAGGCAUCGAUGGGUAGCUGGUCUGAGAGGACGAUCAGCCACACUGGGACUGAGACACGGCCCAGACUCCUACGGGAGGCAGCAGUGGGGAAUCUUGCGCAAUGCGCGAAAGCGUGACGCAGCAACGCCGCGUGGGGGAAGAAGGCUUUCGGGUCGUAAACCCCUUUCAGUUGGGACGAAGCUUCGCCGGUGAAUAGCCGGCCGGAGUGACGGUACCUUCACAAGAAGCCCCGGCUAACUACGUGCCAGCAGCCGCGGUAAUGCACGA
rnacentral:rRNA from 1 species